rnacentral:rRNA from 6 species
AACUUUCAGCAACGGAUCUCUUGGCUCUCGCAUCGAUGAAGAACGCAGCGAAAUGCGAUAAGUAAUGUGAAUUGCAGAAUUCAGUGAAUCAUCGAAUCUUUGAACGCACCUUGCACUCCUUGGUAUUCCGAGGAGUAUGCCUGUUUGAGUCUCAU